ensembl:snoRNA
UUAAAAAGGAAAAGAACCCUCAAUGUCAUGUGUUCGGUACCGGCGACCAGCAGUCCGCCGGUUCUCUCCUCAAGUGCCGGGACACAG